rnacentral:lncRNA from 1 species
UGUUUAAAAUUUGUAAAGUGAGCAUAUAUGUAUUUUUCAAGGGGGGAGGGAAAGGAUUAGUUGUUAGAGAAGGCAUUACAUAAUUUUGACACUGUCUGAAGAUGAAAGGAAAUUAUUUUUAAAAACUUAAAAUAUAGAAACUUGUUAUUCAAAUGAGCAGGUAUAUUCUAAUUGUAAUUAAUUAAACCAUGUGACUUAAAAAAUCCUGAAAGCAGAUGACAUUAUCUUAUUGAAAAUGUAAGUCUUUAUCUUUUUAUUAACUCAUUUUCUGUUAAGUUUUUGGCAUUUUAAAAAUUGUACUUUGGCACAAGGAAAUCCAGAUUUUCUUUGUUGACUGUAGCAUUAAGAAUGAGACAUAUGAAGCCAAUUUGAAUAAAGAUUUGUUGAAAGCUUAAUUCCUUCUUUGCAAAAAUAGCAACAAUAUCAUGAAAAUAAUGUGCAAACAGAAACAGAAUCCCUGAGGCUUCUACUAAGAAAAACACAGAGAACCAGUAUUUUUACCAGCAAUUCAGGUCACAAGAAAGUUCUGUAUGUUAUAGUUCAGGGACAUUUGCAUAAAUCUCUCAUCUCAGACUAUUUGCACUUUGUAGUGGUAAAAAAUUACUUAUCCUAAGACCUCUUUUUGUACAGAAAAACAUUUUUUUCAAUUCUUUUCCAUUGUUUUCAAUUUAAAUAUGGUGCCUGUUUAAACAGUAACUUUCUGCAUAUGAAACAAGAGAUUUUGUUAAAACUCUGGUACUACUACAAUAUUUCUUAGAGACAUAGAAAAUGAUCAUCAUGAUGAUGAUGUAAUACUAUGGAUGAAACUGAGGUCUUCCAUGUGCCAAAAACUCUUUUAAGGACUUCACAUGCAUUAAUUUAUUGAAUCUUUAUAAAAUCCAUAUGAGAGAGGAGCUAUUAUUACCUGAGCUUUACUGAGAGGAAAAUUGGGAUGUAUAGGGAAAAUGAACUUGCUCAAGGUCACAUAGCUAGGAAGUGGCAGGGCCCAAACCUAAACUCCUAACUGAGUCUCUUACGAUAAAGAGAAAGUGGUGUAAUGACCUACCUACCUGAAUAUUGUGAAACUAUAGAACUGCUUUUAAUAGAAAAGGGAGUUUUUCAUUUGAAAUUUUAAAAUAAGAGAAAUAGAAAUAAAUGAAGUAUAAGUAAAUUUAUACUCAAGUGUUUUUCUUUGUCCAGGGCAUGCUGUAGUUAAUAUACUAUUUGAAAUGUGUCAAAAACAUAUGCACACACAUAUAUUAAAAAAAAAACAUUAUGCGACUAGGGCUCAAAAAAUAGAUGGCUCUUCAAUUUGUUAGGUAUGUUUGGAUUUACUUACAUACAACAAGAAAAAUAGCAAGGCAAAACAGUAUUUUCUAAGUCUCAUAGAGAUGUGCUAUCUGAUAAAGACGAUGCCAGGAAAGGUUUAGAGGUUUUGAAGAAAGUGCAGGAUUUGACCUUACGUUGGACCACUUAGAGGAGGGAACAUUCAAGGGGAAGAGAGUAAGUCCAUAAACAGUGGCAUGACGACGUUUUGGUUGUUGGGGUCUGCAAGGAAUUGUAAACAUCAGACAAAUAUGGCUGCUUUGGAGAGUUGUCAGAGUCAGCUUGUGCAGUAGCUUAGUGAAGGCAUUAAGUGCCUUGCACAGAGAGCUGGUGUGUGUCCUAGGUAUAGAGCAAAAUUUAGUUGAUACCUUUGUAUCUAUCUACCACAGCACAGUAAAUCAUAAGAUGUCAUCAAGCCCUAACCAGUUAUCUUGCUUCUCUCUUAAACUUGGAAUCUCCGUUUUUCUUUAUCCUGUCAAGGUCAUCCUGUUUCAAAGUUGGUGGAUACUUUCUUCAUGAUGUCUCUCAGAUCUUCCUUUCUAAUUACCUUAUUUUUCUAGUAUGGUUCUCCAUGAUCUCACAACCCUGUAAAUGGUACAGACCUCUUAUUGUGUCAACUUCUAUUCUUUAGGGCUUUUAAAGUGAGUUAGUUUAAAUGAACAAGGAGAGUUUUUGGCAUAUGUAGGUAACCUGGUUAAAAAAAGGAGUAAACCUCAUCUGGGAGACAAGUGAAUCCAAGGACUGGCAAGCUGUCAGAUCUCUCUUCCCAUCUCUUGAUUCCUGUCUAUGUUAGCUUCAUUCUUAUCUUCUGCAUACAAGCUAACUUUGUGUGGUAAGGAGCAUGGUCUCAGCCUACUUCAUAUUCAUAUUUCUGCAGUGUAGUUAUCUAAGAGGAAAUAAACUCUUUCUUGUCAGUUGUGUUCAGAAAGUAACUUAAGUGCUACAAUUGGUUCUGCUUUGAUUAAGAGAUUGUCGCCAGAGAAAUCACUAUAGUCAAGGAGAUAGGGUACUGGAACUGGGGCUUCCAUCAGAACCACUUAGUGGGUGUAGAGUAGUAGAAAAUUAUCCGGCCUAGAGAAAUAUGUUUCUGAGAAGAUAAAAAAAUAAAUGCCCACUGCCCUCUCUAAUCUCUGAGUAACAGUCUUUAAAUAUAUUUUCAGCAUAAUACUUUCACAUUCAAAUUGAACUAUCUUUUCUAGCAUUAAACUUUUUUUCCAAUGGUUGUUAUACGAUGACUUCUCUCAUCAUUGUCAAUAUGUUGAUCCCAUUUGUUGUGGGUUUAAAACUAGGCUCUCCAAUUUACUAGUUAGGUGAUCUUAAGCAAUUUAUCGUCUCUAACCUUGAAUUUUCAUCCCUAAAGUCGGGAUACUAAUGUGCUAACUUUAUGAGUUAAUUGUGAGGAGUAAAUCAGCUCACAAAGUACAUAGAAGGCACUUAACAUUUCUUAUUCCUUGGUAUGAAUAGAGUAUGUGUAGGAUGAAAGUUGCAUGCUGUGUUAAAAAAAGCAGAAGACUAGGUGACACAACCUGUUAUUGUCCUUCCCAAAGAGCAUGGAUAAGGCUAGGGAAAAAAAAAAAAAAGACAAGCUCCUUAAUAAAAUUUCUGGAAAACAUUCAUUUCAUUCUAUCUUCAAAAUUCUGGGGAUAUAUUUCCUCAGAAAGCUCCAUACAUAAUGGGCUUUAGGCACUGAAAACAUAUCAGGGCCUUUGCCCAACAAUGGAAAAUUCACUACUUCAACCAUUUUCUUUAGUAUUCUUUAGCAACUCCUUGGUUUAAUCACUGGAUAAUGUUGAAAGAUUUGGUGAAAAACACUUGUUUGAAGGGUCUGUUUACUUGAAGUGAAACUAAGGGCCAUGAAGGUGAUCCAGCUAGCUUUCUCUUGUGUAGCCAAAGACAAUUCUAGAUCUUCCUGCUGUGUCUGAUUUUUGAUCAAAGAUUGGGAUUGGGGAGCAGUGAGUUCAGCGGCACUGAGUUUGGCACCGUAUGUUAGGAAUGGCGGGGGUCAUAAAAAGAGAAAAUGGGGAUGAGGACAUGGGAAGUUCUCAAUUCUUGAAGUGGAAUUAAAGAAAUGUGAAAUAACAUUACGUGAGAAAAUACUCAGGAAAUACCAAUAUAACAUACAAAUUCCCAUUACGCUGUUUCUGGGUAGGUGCUGAGUCAGAAUUUCUAGGAUAGAAGGAAUAUUGACGGAGGCAAGCAGUUUUGGUGAAAUGAUGGCCAACACGAAUCUUGUUCAGACUCUUUGUCCUCUUCUAUUUUCUCUGUGGAAAUUCUCCCCAAUGCCCGCCCCUCUCUCUACUCUCCCCUGUAAGCCUUGCCUCCCAGGGUUUGCCCCCUUACAUUUUACUGUCAGAUAUUUCAGAUAUUUUUAUAUUUUCAUGUAGUGAUAGGUGUAAUUCUAAGAUGGUCCCCAAAUUCCUGCCCCCUGGCAUGCCCACCAUGUAUAAUUUCAUACUCUUGACUGGGGGUGGCACCAUUAAUAUGAUUAAUGAUGCUAAUGGCAUAGCAAAGUUUGUAUAGUUACUCAAGUGAUUACAUUAAGUUAUAUAAGACUCCUUCUUAGCAUCCUGGAGAAAGAUUCUCCUGUUGGCUUUAAAGAAUAAGCUUCCAUGUUGUGAGAGGGGCAUGUGACCAGGACUCAAAGGCAGCUUUUAGGAGUUAAAAGCCACUCCCAUCCCCACAGCCAACAAGAAAUGGGGAUCUCGGUUCCUCCCUCAAAAGGAACUGAAUCCUGCCAACAACCUGAAUGAGCCAGAAAAAAUAUCCUAAUCUCCAGAUGAGAAUGCACCCCAUACAGCACCUUAAUUUCAGCCUAAGGACCCCUGAACAGAGAAUCAGCUAUACUCUACCCAAGCCCUUGACACACAAAGACCAUGAGAUAAAACAUUUCUAUUUUUUUAAGUAAAGUUUGCAGUAAUUUGCUAUGCAGCUUUAGAAAACUUUAAAUUCUAAAGAAUUUUUAAAAAAUCUAAUUUAAAUUAGAAUUAUGCCUUAUCCUUAAUUAAUUUCUUCAUACCUUUCAGUGCACAUACUUUAGUACUUUGUACAAAGUAACCAUACAAUUAAAAUUUGCUGAUGGAUUAAUUUGUUGAUUAGGAUAAUUAUCCUAAAAUUUUAUUUCCAAUGUCUAUUUUCCCCCCACCAGAAAAGUCCUUAAAACUUUUUCUAAGUAUUUAGUAAAUAUCAUCUUUUUUUUUCCCCUGGAAAAUUCCUCCACUUAUUAACCUGUCAACAUAUUCGUGCUGACCCAAACCAAAUAAGUAAGCAGUGUAGGUCAAAAGAUACUUUGGAAAGGAAGAUCAUGCUAUUUGGGGACAGUUUCAGUGGGUAGUUAUAAUCAGUCAAGUAUUAAAUUAUGAAAAAAUGUCAUAUGAAGUUUGGUAUGAACACAUUAGAACUUUAAAUUUUUUCCUGAUGUUUCCCAAUUAUGUUAAUAUACAUUGAGAGUAAUAAAAAUGAUAAUAACAAUAGCUAACUUUUAUUAAUCACCUCAUAUGUUCCUGGCAAUUAAGAGUUUAAUCUGUUAAUAUAUUUAAGCUCUAAAAAUAUUUGUAACCUCAGUUACUAUUACUGUCUUCAUCUUAUUGAUAAGGAAACCAAGGCAAAAAGGUUAAAUAAUUUGUCCAGGGUCAAAUAGAUAGCAACAACAGUAAUAAUAAACUUUUGCAGAGCACUUCAAUGGUGCUUUACUUAUUACGUUGGCGCAAAAGUAAUUGCAGUUUUUGCCACUACUUUAAAUGGCAAUAUAUUAACUCAUUUAAUUUCUACGAUUAUUGUGUGAAUUAAGUACUAUUAUUCCUUCAUUUUAGAGAUAAGAAAACAGAGGCUUGCAAAUCAUUUUAGAGCACUUUUCUUCUCUAAAUGCUUCACUGUUAUAAGCUAAUAACAGUAAACUUAUUUUAAAAAUCAAUUUUUUUUCAAAAUUCCAAAAUCAGUUCAAUACUGCCAGAUUAAUCUUCCUUGCAUACUAGCAGAGUCUUCUACAGGAAACAUUCAAUGACUGCCUGUUGCUAACUUACGAAAUUCCAACAACUUAUGAUGGCCAUUUAGGGUCUUCCAUGCUCUCACUCCAAUGUGUAUUUCUAGUUAAAUUUUCUACUAUGCCUCAACAUGCACCCUGGGUUCAGUCAAAUCAGCAUAAGUAAUGUUCAUUACACCCAGGCUUUCAUGGCUCUGUGGUUUUCUGAUUUAAUUUUGGCCACCUGGAAGGCCCUCCUCCACCUCCACUUGUCAAAAUAGCAUUUCCUUCUAUUUCAUAUCUCAACUUCUCCAGCAACAGUUUAAUUCUAUAACCAGACAUGUUGCUUUCCUUUACUUUGCACAUAAAGGAAUUAUUUAACAUAUUACAAUUAUAUUUAUAUUACAGACUUUUCUUUCUUCCAUAUCUUCCCUAAUGACUAUAUAUUUCUUGAACGGGAAAAACAAUGCUCAUAGGAAAAUAACGUAUCUAAUAUUAUUUGAGAGUUAUAUGAAUUCAUUCAGUAUAAAUUCUCUUCUAAGGGACUUUGAAUUUAUUUCUCUAAUUGUUUGAUAAAAGAAUUACACAGAGAUGUUGUUUUUUAGAUUCUUUCCUCAUAUCCUGGAAAGUUCAUGUCUCAAUUUCCCUUAGUUUUCCAUUUUUAAGGGCUAUGAUCUGAUCUACAUAAUAAUAUAAAAAAUGGAAAUAAGUAAAUUGAAGCUUUUUUAGUGGAAUAAGGAUAUAUUACAUUAUUGAGCAUUACUAAGUGCCAGACAACAAUCCUUGUCCUCAUGGAGCUUAGAUUCCAAUAGGAAAAAAUAAAAAAUAAACAUAUAUAUAUAGAAGUUCUAUGAUAGGUACUAUAAAAACAUAGAUCAAAGUUAAACAUUGGUUGUGGCAGAAGGUGAGAUAAGGCAUAUGUGGUCAUGGCAGGCCUCAUUGGAAAGGUGAUAAGUGAGUAGGAAGAGCUGCCCAAGAAAGUUUUUUCCUCCCUUGAGUGUGGAUUAUUGAGGGGAAGGAUGCUGCCUCUCUAUUGAUGAAGAGAAAAUCUUUUCUUACCUUUGGUUUUAUUGAGUGUAAUGACAAAUGAUUUGAAACUGUUUGACAUUCCUAGUCACUCAAAUAAAUGUAGAAUUUGAGUAACUGGAUCUGACAUACACUCUUUAAAGUGUUAAGUCAGAAGCAUGAUGCUAUGGGCUGAAUUAUGUCUACCCCAAAUUUAUAUAUAUGUAUAUGUAUGUGUGUACGUGUGUGUAUAUAAAAUAUCUUAUCUUUCCUGCCGAUUUUUCUUCCCUGGUUGAACCCUAAAUGACAACUUACAAAAAACAAAUGAGACUUUUUUUCUAAGAGUGUACAAAUUACCAUUUGAUUAGAUAAUUCAAUCAUAUAUCAGUAAUCAAUUUAGAUCAAUUUCAAAAUAGUUAAUUUGUUAUGUAUACACUCUAAGAAUGAAAGAUUCUAUGAAUAUGUUAUACAUUUUCCCAAAAAGAAUGAAUUUCAAACCAAAAGAGUAGCAUAUGCCUUCCGGGAAAAUAAACUGUUUCUGAAGUCAAUAAUUUAUUCUUUGCUCAUAGCAAGCGUACAUCCUUCCCAACUUAAAAUAAUCAAAAAUUUCAAUCAAACUUACUUUCACCUUAGACCCUUUCCUCUUCUUCAUUGGUCUCUCAGAAUUAUAGCUUACACCCAUAGUUUCAAUUUUUUCACUUUUCAUUUACUCCUCAGUCAUUAACAUUUGGCUUCCAUUCUUAAAACUCUACCAAAAUAAUCCUUGAUGAUUGCUUUGCCAUUAAAUGACUGUAUUUAAUGAUCACUUUACGUGACCCCUCAGCAUCACUCAAUAAUAUUGUCCCCUUCUUCUUUCCGGGAAAUCUUUCUUUCCAUUUGCAUCAAUGACAUCACAAUCUGGUUUUCCUACUGUUUCCAGAUUACUCUUUUUCUGACCCUUUUUCUUUUUUUUUUCAUGUAAUACCAUUUUAAUAAGCCAUGUAUGUUUAUUAUUUAAUUACAUGUUUGUUAUGCACAAACUGCUCUUAUACAGUUCUGUUAGCCAGUAUAAUAACGUUUUUAACUUUGUCGAUAACAAACUUGUAUUUGUAAUGUAACAUAUGCUGUGCUCUAGUCUAAAAAUUGGUGCUUAAACUGUUCACUAAUUUAAUUAUGUAGGAUGCAAUAUGUUCCAAAAUCCAGUGCACUUAAUUGUAUUUAAAUUUGGUUUUCAUUUAAGAUCCUCACAUGCUAAGAAGUAGAGCAGCCUUGUAGAAUUGAUCCUUUCUCAUUUGAAGCCAAGUCUGAUCAUCUCUUGACACCCAGGUUGGGCUGAAUGCAGAGGAUGGGUCUUAGUUUUUUUUUUUUUUUUUUAUUCAAAGAGCAUUGCAUCUUUCCUAACUCAAGUAGUUUCUAUCCUCAUUUCAGACCUCCAGCUUGACUACUCAUUAACAGAUGAGUUCUGCAGAAACCACUUCUUGGUGGGACUGUUACUGAGGGAGGUGGGGACAGCCCUCCAGGAGUUCCAUCUGAUCGCCAUCAGUGUGCUCAAGAACCUGCUGAUAAAGCAUUCUUUUGAUGACAGAUAUGCUUCAAGGAGUCAUCAGGCAAGGAUAGCCACCCUCCACCUGCCUCUGUUUGGUCUGCUGAUUGAAAACGUCCCGCGGAUCAAUGUGAGGGAUGUGUCACCUUUCCCUGUGAACGUGGGCAUGAUUUAAAACCUGUGUUAAUGGUUUUUCUUUAGUCUGAGUUAUCUCGUGGAUUGGAUGGAGCGUAAAGGGAGGUGAAGGCUUCAGUAAGAUGUUGAGAAAGUAUUUGAAGGCACCUGACAACAAAACCCUCAGAAGACUCAGGAGAAGGGUCAUUAGCCACACUCUCUUACAGUCCUUCUCCUGUUUGGAAUUCCAGUUUCCUAUACAAAGGUGGCUGCGAUGGGCCAGGGCCAUGGCUGGAAGAGGUAAGACCUUCAACAUAGCAGUCAACUUGGACAUUAUCAGACUUGUUUUAACACAAAAUGGUAAAUAUCCAAUUAUCAGAUGAGAUUCAACAUUUUAUGGCCUGCCAUGUUGAAAACCCUAAUGAUAGGUCGCAUUGUGAUCCCUGUAAACUGUCAACCAGGACUGCGAAAAGCACCAUGACAAAUGACUAAACAUUGUCUCUACUAAUCAUAUUUGGGGUUGGCCUGAUGUACUAGCUAGAGUUUGUUUAUUUUUCGUAAACAAAUAAAAUAGAUAAAGCUCAAGUUUCCUAUGUUCUUCUACAAGGCAGAUUUUCUUCACCCCUCCCCUCAAAAGAAAAUCACUAUUAUUAAUUUUAGUAUCUCAUUUGUCCAGAUUUUAAAAUUGUUAUUACAUACACAUAUAUCCAUGAAAAGAUACCAAAAUACUAUGUUAUUAAUAUGUAUCCAAUAGUAUUAUAUUCUGCAUACUAUCCUAUAACAUGUUUUUUUCUACUCAAAAUUACCUUUUUGAGUUACCUCAUGUAAAUUAAACCAUUUAGAUAUAGUGAAUCUAAUUUAUUUAUUUUGGUGCUAUGUAGUAAGUAUUCCAGUGUAUAUAUGUACUAUCAUUGAAUUCUCCAUCCCUUUAUUGAUGGGUUUUUGAUUUGUUUCCAUUUCUCCCUAUUACAAAAAAGGCUAGUGGAUAUCCCUGUGCAUUUAGCUUUACAUGCAUAUGUGAGUAUAGAGAGAACAGAACUGUUGGGUUGUAGGAUAUGCUUAUUUUCCACUUCAAGAGUUGCCCUCUAAAAGAAAUUGGUAUUGAUUUACAUCCCCACCUGCUGUGUGUCAGCAAUCUAUUCUCACAUCCUCCUAUCAUUUGGAAUAGUUAUAACUUUUGCCGUUAUAAUGAAUUUGAAAUGGUAUCUCAUUUUGUUUGGCAUUCUUUUUCCCAACCAGUACUAUCUGUUUUAUACUUACUCACCUGUUACCUGUUUUUUGAAUAAAUGAUACAUGUCCUUUGCCUACUUUCCACUGGAUUCUCUUUUAUCAUAUUCUUAUUGACAGAUAAGAAUUAUUUGAAUUUUUCUAAUGUCUGCAAUAUAUAUUGGUUACAUUUUCCAGCUUAUUGCUUUUCUUUUAACUUGAUAGUCCCCUUUUAAUAUAGAAAUUUUGGAUGUUAUUAUAAUUAGGAAUUGCUAAUUUCUUACUUUAUGAUUUAUGUCUUUUUCAAGAAAAAUCUCUGCCAAAAUGUUAUAUUAGUCUUAAGUAUAGUUUUAAAGCUUUUUUUUCAUGUGUUUAUGUCUAUAUCUUAUACAUAAUAAUUUUAUGUAUGGUUUGACUCAGGUAUUAAAUUUUAUUAUGGACAUGUAUUGCUCUGGCAUUGUUUAUGGAGUAACUACAGUUUCCCUUCUGAUUUUUAAUUCCUCCUAUAGUGUAGAAAAAGAUCCCAGAAAACAUUUAGUGUCUUAAUUGCUCAUCUGUUUCCUAUCAAUCUAUCUUUUCCUGAACAAAUAUUACAGAUCUUAAUUACUAUAGUUUUACAAUAAGUUUUGAUAUCUGAUUAAAGCAAGUUACCCCAACCUAUGCUCCUUCAAAAUAUUGUGCUUACUAAUAGUCCUUUAGCUCUUUGGUGUAAAUGUUAGAAAUUGCUUUUGAAAUUACAAGGUGUUUGAGUUGUAAUUGCAUUUAAUUUUGUGAUUAAUUUAAAAAGAUUUAUAUCUUUAAUAAUUGUUUUCAAAUCUAAAGAUUGUAAACAUAUUUUUCCUUUUUAUUCAUGCAUUCUCUAGGUCCCCAUAUGCCUUCUAUUUUUAAAGUUGGGUGUAUUGAGAUAUAAUUUAUAUAGAAAUUAUAAUAAUUUCAGUAUAUUAACAAUAUAUUAAACCAUUUUAAGGUGUACAGUUCAAUGAGUUUUGACAAAUGUAUAAAGUCAUGUAACCAUUACCUCAGAAUAUAGAAUUUCUAUCACUCCUUCUGUGGUUUGAAUGUUUGUGCCUUCCCAAUCCUAACUCAUAUAUUGAAAUUCUAAUCCCCAAGGUCAUGGAUGGUAUUAGGAGAUGGGGCUUUUGGGUAGGUGAUCAGGUCAUUAGGGUUCCAUCCUCAUGAAUGAUAUUAGUGCCCUUGUAAAAGGGGCAAGAGAGAGCUGCCUUGUCCUUUAUACCAUGUGAGGACACAGGAAUAAACCACCAUCUAUGAGGAAGGGGUCCUCACCAGACAUUAAAUUUGCUCAUGCCUGGAUCUUGGAGUUCUUAGAAUCCAGAACCAUGAGGAAUGAGUGUUGUUUACAAGCCACAAAGUUUGUGGUAUUUUGUUAUGACAGAUGAAAUGGACUAAGACAGCUCCAAAAAGUUUUGUUGUACCUCUCUGUAGUUAACCCACUCUCCUAUCAGUAGCCCUUGGCAACCACUGAUCUGAUUUCUGUUCCUGUAGUUUCACCUUUUCCAGAGUAUUAUAUCAAUGAAUCAUACAGCAUGUAUGAUUUUCUUUACUUACAACAAUGCUUUAAGAUACAUUCAUGUUGUUCUAUGAAAGGGUAAUUUGCUCCUUUUUAGUUCUAAGUAGUAUUCCAUUGAAUGGACGUACCAUGACUUAUUUAUCCAUUUACUUACUGAUGAACAUUUUUUAAAAUUUCCACUUUGUAGUGAUUACGAAUAAACAUUCAUUCACAGGUUUUGUGUGAACAUAUACUUUUAUUUAUCUUGAAUGAACACCUAGGAAUUUGGUUGCUGGGUCACAUGGUAAGAGUAUUUUUAACUUUAUCAAAAAGCAGCCUACUUAUUUUAUUAAUGACGUUAGCAUUUUGCAUUCUUACCAGUACUAUGUGAGAGUUCUAGCUGCUAUGUAGUAUCACUAGCACUUGAUACUUUCACUUUUAUAUUAUUUUGGCUAUUCUC